rnacentral:rRNA from 1 species
UGGGGAAUAUUGCACAAUGGGCGAAAGCCUGAUGCAGCGACGCCGCGUGAGUGAUGAAGUAUUUCGGUAUGUAAAGCUCUAUCAGCAGGGAAGAAAAUGACGGUACCUGACUAAGAAGCUCCGGCUAAAUACGUGCCAGCAGCCGCGGUAAUACGUAUGGAGCAAGCGUUAUCCGGAUUUACUGGGUGUAAAGGGAGUGUAGGCGGUCUAAAAAGUCUGAUGUGAAAACCCGGGGCUCAACCGCGGGAUUGCAUUGGAAACUUUUAGACUAGAGUAUCGGAGAGGCAAGCGGAAUUCCUGGUGUAGAGGUGAAAUUCGUAGAUAUCAGGAAGAACAUCGGUGGCGAAGGCGGCUUGCUGGACGACAACUGACGCUGAGGCUCGAAAGCGUGGGAAGCGAA